UUAUCAGAACUGUAGGGACGCAUGUGGAAAGCACGGGCCGGGAAUGGAAAGACCGGUACAAGCGGGGUAGGUGUACAAUAGGCAAAUCCGUUGUAUAAUCCGAAGACGUGAUGUGGAGCGAAAUAAAGUAGCAAAGCGUGUGAGCCAUGUGCCGAGAAAAGCUGCUAUUGUGUAAUGCGUGCCCGUACCGUAAACCGACACAGGUGGAUGAGGAGAGAAUCCUAAGGCCGACGGAAGAAGCAUUGUUAAGGAAUUCGGCAAAAUGACCCCGUAACUUCGGGAGAAGGGGUGCCUGCGAGAGCAGGCCGCAGAGAAUAGGCUCAAGCAACUGUUUAGCAAAAACACAGGUCUAUGCGAAACCGAAAGGUGAAGUAUAUGGGCUGACGCCUGCCCGGUGCUGGAAGGUUAAGAGGAGAGGUUAGCGUAAGCGAAGCUUUGAAUUUAAGCCCCAGUAAACGGCGGCCGUAACGAUAACGGUCCUAAGGUAGCGAAAUUCCUUGUCGGGUAAGUUCCGACCCGCACGAAAGGCGUAAUGAUUUGAGCACUGUCUCGACAAUGCAUCCGGUGAAAUUGAAGUACCAGUGAAGAUGCUGGUUACCCGCGCCAGGGCGGAAAGACCCCAUGGAGCUUUACUCCAGUUUGAUACUGGGAUUCGGUACUGCAUGUACAGGAUAGGUGGGAGACGAAGAAGGAUGGACGCCAGUCUGUCCGGAGUCGCUGUUGGGAUACCACCCCUGUAGUACUGGGUUUCUAACCAGUUGCCAUGAACUGGCAAUGGGACAAUGUCAGGCGGGGAGUUUGACUGGGGCGGUCGCCUCCGAAAGGGUAUCGGAGGCGCUCAAAGGUUCCCUCAGAAUGGUUGGAAACCAUUUGAAGAGUGCAAAGGCAGAAGGGAGCUUGACUGCGACACCGACGGGUGGAGCAGGUACGAAAGUAGGACUUAGUGAUCCGGUGGUAUAAAGUGGGAUUGCCAUCGCUCAACGGAUAAAAGCUACCCUGGGAUAACAGGCUUAUCACUCCCAAGAGUUCACAUCGACGGAGUGGUUUGGCACCUCGAUGUCGGCUCAUCGCAUCCUGGGGCUGUAGCAGGUCCCAAGGGUUGGGCUGUUCGCCCAUUAAAGCGGUACGCGAGCUGGGUUCAGAACGUCGUGAGACAGUUCGGUCCCUAUCCGGCGCGGGCGGAGGAUAUUUGAGAGGAGCUGUCCUUAGUACGAGAGGACCGGGAUGGACGGACCACUGGUGUAUCUGUUGUCGACCAACGGCAUGGCAGAGUAGCCAAGUCUGGAAGGGAUAAACGCUGAAGGCAUCUAAGCGUGAAGCCCCCCUCAAGAUGAGAUAUCCCUCCUUCGGGAGUAAGACCCCUUGAAGACUACAAGGUAGAUAGGGCAGAGGUGGAAGCA
rnacentral:rRNA from 1 species